AGUUCUUAGACCACUAAAUUCUAAAGACAUCGAUCACUUCACAUGCAAGCAAACCCCACAUACCCACUAAUUAAUACAACUUAAAUUUACUCAGCCUUCUCCACCGGCUCUUCCUUGACAACUUUCUCCUCGGCAGCAUCAGCAGCUGGCUUCUCUUCCUCAACAGCUUCAGGCUUCUCUUCUUCCUUAACCACUACCUCUUCUUUAGGAUCUUCAGCCGCUGGUUCCGAUACCGGCUCCGGGGCAAUUGGUUCGGCAGAAGGAGCCUCAGCAGAGUCGUCAAUAUUCAAUUUCUCCUUAGUCUCCUCUACAAGUUCUGGCUCAGCAGUCUUCUCUACUGUUGGUUCUUCUGCUUCUUCUUUGGCCACAACAUCUUCCUUCGCCUCCUCCACCACCUUCACCUCCUUUGUCUCAACCUCAACUGGGGUGGUUUCAUCAGCUUCUGCAGCCUCAGCCUUAGGAACUUCACCAGAAGCCACAACAGUCUCUGCCUCCUUUGGCUCUUCUGCAACAGCCUCUGCCUCAGCUGCGCAUGCUGCUACUUCUGUCACUACUUCUUGUGCCUUAAUUGGUUCCUCAUGAGUUGUGUCCUCCACAGGGAGGGCUGUCUUUGCUGAUACAACCUGCAAGAUUAUUAUAUAUUUAUAGUACUCUCUAAUGUUAAUUAACACUUAAUUAAAGGAUCAAAAUCUCAAUUAGUUAUUACAUUUGCAAGAGAGAGCUUGAAUUGAUCAUAAGCACAAAUCUAUGUAAACUCUAGAAAUGAAAGGUGAGUUAAUACCUGAGCAGUGGCCAUGGGAAUUGAAAAGGUGAGGAAGAAAUUGAAGUAAAAAACAAGAAGACUGAUCAAAGAUAGGCAAACUUAAGAGUAAGAAAUGAAAAGAAC
rnacentral:lncRNA from 1 species